GACAGAGGGUGCAAACGUUGUUCGGAAUUACUGGGCGUAAAGCGUGUGUAGGCGGCUAAGUAAGUCGGGCGUGAAAUCCCACGGCUCAACCGUGGAAGUGCACUCGAAACUGCAUAGCUAGAGUCCUGGAGAGGAAGGUGGAAUGCUUGGUGUAGAGGUGAAAUUCGUAGAUAUCAAGCGGAACACCGGUGGCGAAGGCGGCCUUCUGGACAGUGACUGACGCUGAGACGCGAAAGCGUGGGGAGCAAACAGG
rnacentral:rRNA from 1 species